rnacentral:rRNA from 1 species
UACGUAGGGGGCAAGCGUUGUCCGGAAUCAUUGGGCGUAAAGAGCGUGUAGGCGGCCAGAUAAGUCCGCUGUGAAAUCUCGAGGCUCAACUUCGAGCUGUCGGUGGAAACUGUCUGGCUAGAGUCCGGAAGAGGAGAAUGGAAUUCCCGGUGUAGCGGUGAAAUGCGCAGAUAUCGGGAAGAACACCGAUGGCGAAGGCAGGUCUCUGGGCAUUAACUGACGCUGAGGAGCGAAAGCAUGGGGAGCGAACAGG